rnacentral:rRNA from 1 species
GACUGCCGGUGAUAAACCGGAGGAAGGUGGGGACGACGUCAAGUCAUCAUGGCCCUUACGAGUAGGGCUACACACGUGCUACAAUGGCGCAUACAGAGGGCAGCCAACUUGCGAAAGUGAGCGAAUCCCAAAAAGUGCGUCGUAGUCCGGAUUGGAGUCUGCAACUCGACUCCAUGAAGUCGGAAUCGCUAGUAAUCGUGGAUCAGAAUGCCACGGUGAAUACGUUCCCGGGCCUUGUACACACCGCCCGUCACACCAUGGGAGUGGGCUGCAAAAGAAGCAGGUAGUUUAACCUUCGGGAGGACGCUUGCCACUUUGUGGUUCAUGACUGGGGUGAAGUCGUAACAAGGUAGCGCUAGGGGAACCUGGCGCUGGAUCACCUCCUUA